UAGCAUAUCAAUAAGCGGAGGAAAAGAAACUAACAAGGAUUCCCCUAGUAACUGCGAGUGAAGCGGGAAAAGCUCAAAUUUAAAAUCUGGUGGUUUUUGGCCAUCCGAGUUGUAAUUUAGAGAAGCGUCUUCCGCGCUGGACCGUGCWCAAGUCUCCUGGAAUGGAGCGUCAUAGAGGGUGAGAAUCCCGUCUUUGGCACGGACAAACCCAGGGCUUUUGUGAUGCGCUCUCAAAGAGUCGAGUUGUUUGGGAAUGCAGCUCAAAAUGGGUGGUGAACUCCAUCUAAAGCUAAAUAUUGGCGAGAGACCGAUAGCGAACAAGUACCGUGAGGGAAAGAUGAAAAGCACUUUGGAAAGAGAGUGAAACAGUACGUGAAAUUGUUGAAAGGGAAACGCUUGAAGUCAGUCGCGUCGACCGAGACUCAGCCUUGCCUUGGCUUGGUGUACUUCUCGGCCGACGGGUCAGCAUCAAUUUUGCCCCUUGGAUAAUGGCGAGGGAAAUGUGACRCCUUUUAUGGUGUGUUAUAGUCUCUCGUCGCAUGCAAGGGUUGGGAUUGAGGAACUCAGCACGCACCCUUGGGUGUCGGGGUUUUUGCCCACGAUACGUGCUUAGGAUGUUGGCGUAAUGGCUUUAAACGACCCGUCUUGAAACACGGACCAAGGAGUCUAACAUGCCUGCGAGUGUUCGGGUGGAAAACUCGUGCGCGCAAUGAAAGUGAAAGUUGGGACCUCUGUCGUGGAGGGCACCGACGCCCGGACCAGACCUUCUGUGACGGAUCUGCGGUAAAGCAUGUAUGUUAGGACCCGAAAGAUGGUGAACUAUGCCUGAAUAGGGUGAAGCCAGAGGAAACUCUGGUGGAGGCUCGUAGCGAUUCUGACGUGCAAAUCGAUCGUCAAAUUUGGGUAUAGGGGCGAAAGACUAAUCGACCAUCUAGUAGCUGGUUCCUGCCRAAAGUUUCCCUCAGGAUAGCAGAUACUCAUGUCASAUUUAUGUGGUUAAGCGAAUGAUUAGAGGCCUUGGRGGAUGAAACAUCCUUAAC
rnacentral:rRNA from 1 species